rnacentral:rRNA from 1 species
AGGGGAAUUUUGGACAAUGGGCGCAAGCCUGAUCCAGCCAUUCCGCGUGAGUGAAGAAGGCAUUCGGGUUGUAAAGCUCUUUCGCAAGGGAAGAAAACUUAGGCUCUAACAUAGCCUGAGGUUGACGGUACCUUGAUAAGAAGCACCGGCUAACUACGUGCCAGCAGCCGCGGUAAUACGUAGGGUGCGAGCGUUAAUCGGAAUUACUGGGCGUAAAGCGUGCGCAGGCGGUUUUGUAAGUCAGAUGUGAAAUCCCCGAGCUCAACUUGGGAACUGCGUUUGAAACUACAAGACUAGAAUAUGUCAGAGGGGGGUAGAAUUCCACGUGUAGCAGUGAAAUGCGUAGAGAUGUGGAGGAAUACCAAUGGCGAAGGCAGCCCCCUGGGAUAAUAUUGACGCUCAGACACGAAAGCGUGGGGAGCAAACAG